GCCCAGACUCCUACGGGAGGCAGCAGUGGGGAAUAUUGCACAAUGGGGGAAACCCUGAUGCAGCGACGCCGCGUGAGUGAAGAAGUAUUUCGGUACGUAAAGCUCUAUCAGCAGGGAAGAAAAUGACGGUACCUGAUUAAGAAGCCCCGGCUAACUACGUGCCAGCAGCCGCGGUAAUACGUAGGGGGCAAGCGUUAUCCGGGUUUACUGGGUGUAAAGGGAGCGUAGACGGCAGCGCAAGUCUGGAGUGAAAUGCCGGGGCCCAACCCCGGAACUGCUCUUGGAACUGCGUGGCUGGAGUGCAGGAGGGGCAGGCGGAAUUCCUGGUGUAGCGGUGAAAUGCGUAGAAAUCAGGAGGAACACCGGUGGCGAAGGCGGCCUGCUGGACUGCAACUGACGUUGAGGCCCGAAAGCGUGGGGAGCAAACAGGAUUAGAUACCCGAGUA
rnacentral:rRNA from 1 species